rnacentral:rRNA from 1 species
UACAUGCAAGUCGUACCACAGCUUGAGACACCAACUGAUUGAUGGUGCUUGCACCUGAUUGACGAUGGAUCACCAGUGAGUGGCGGACGGGUGAGUAACACGUAGGUAACCUGCCCCGGAGCGGGGGAUAACAUUUGGAAACAGAUGCUAAUACCGCAUAACAACAAAAGCCGCAUGGCUUUUGUUUGAAAGAUGGCUUUGGCUAUCACUCUGGGAUGGACCUGCGGUGCAUUAGCUAGUUGGUAAGGUAACGGCUCUACCAAGGCGAUGAUGCAUAGCCGAGUUGAGAGACUGAUCGGCCACAAUGGAACUGAGACACGGUCCAUACUCCUACGGGAGGCAGCAGUAGGGAAUCUUCCACAAUGGGCGCAAGCCUGAUGGAGCAACACCGCGUGAGUGAAGAAGGGUUUCGGCUCGUAAAGCUCUGUUGUUGGAGAAGAACGUGCGUGAGAGUAACUGUUCACGCAGUGACGGUAUCCAACCAGAAAGUCACGGCUAACUACGUGCCAGCAGCCGCGGUAAUACGUAGGUGGCAAGCGUUAUCCGGAUUUAUUGGGCGUAAAGCGAGCGCAGGCGGUUGCUUAGGUCUGAUGUGAAAGCCUUCGGCUUAACCGAAGAAGUGCAUCGGAAACCGGGCGACUUGAGUGCAGAAGAGGACAGUGGAACUCCAUGUGUAGCGGUGGAAUGCGUAGAUAUAUGGAAGAACACCAGUGGCGAAGGCGGCUGUCUGGUCUGCAACUGACGCUGAGGCUCGAAAGCAUGGGUAGCGAACAGGAUUAGAUACCCUGGUAGUCCAUGCCGUAAACGAUGAGUGCUAGGUGUUGGAGGGUUUCCGCCCUUCAGUGCCGGAGCUAACGCAUUAAGCACUCCGCCUGGGGAGUACGACCGCAAGGUUGAAACUCAAAGGAAUUGACGGGGGCCCGCACAAGCGGUGGAGCAUGUGGUUUAAUUCGAAGCUACGCGAAGAACCUUACCAGGUCUUGACAUCUUGCGCUAACCUUAGAGAUAAGGCGUUCCCUUCGGGGACGCAAUGACAGGUGGUGCAUGGUCGUCGUCAGCUCGUGUCGUGAGAUGUUGGGUUAAGUCCCGCAACGAGCGCAACCCUUGUUACUAGUUGCCAGCAUUGAGUUGGGCACUCUAGUGAGACUGCCGGUGACAAACCGGAGGAAGGUGGGGACGACGUCAGAUCAUCAUGCCCCUUAUGACCUGGGCUACACACGUGCUACAAUGGACGGUACAACGAGUCGCAAACUCGCGAGAGUAAGCUUAAUCUCUUAAAGCCGUUCUCAGUUCGGACUGUAGGCUGCAACUCGCCUACACGAAGUCGGAAUCGCUAGUAAUCGCGGAUCAGCAUGCCGCGGUGAAUACGUUCCCGGGCCUUGUACACACCGCCCGUCACACCAUGGGAGUUUGUAACGCCCAAAGUCG